AAGUAGAAACCUUGAUUAUUUUUUUUUCUAAUAUAAUGUUCUUAGUGAGAGUAUCUACCCUGUGGGUGUGUCUUUGAUAUGUCAAAGAAGAAAGAAAUUUGUUUUAUUUUUUUGUGGAAUUCUUUCCUCAGCUCAAGUAAUUAUAUAUAUAUAUCAUGUAUAUAAUACAUAUAUAUAAUACAUAUAUAUUUAAAUGUUGCUGUAAAUAGUCAUUUAUAUUAAGUUUAGAACUACUUUCCAUAUAGCCUCUGAUUUUGAAAAGCUGAUACUUAUUUUCAAAUCUAUCAUCAUAAGCAGUGGAUUAACAUCGGUUUGAUCUGCUCUGGUGGACAUGAUAAAAUCCUACUCAGAUAAGCUAGAUUUGUGAGAAACGUGAAAUCCUUCAUAUAAGUAAAUUCUGUAGUGGUUGUUUCAUCUAAGCCUCUCUUAGCUCUUAAUAAAUUAAUGUAGCUUUCUAACAGAAUUCUGAGUAGUGAUAGGAUGUUGUAGUAAUCAAUUUUUUUACUUCAUUGUCUUCCUGAUUUAAAGAACUUGGAAAGAUGUCUGCAUUCUGCAUGGUGAAAGCUGAGUCUGCAGAGUGUUUAAAGGAAAAUACUUGCAGACAACAAAUAUGUGUAUCACCCAACUUUGCCUGAUUGACAUAGCAAGUUAAAACUGCAAGCCGUGAGUAUUUUUCUACACAUCGGUGAGAUGAUUUUAAGAAUAUUACAUGAAUUAAUUGCUGAAGUAAUAUUUAAUUUAUAAAAGGUAUCAUGGAUACCAUUUUACCAUAAACAGCUUGAUUGUUAAUAUGAAAUAAUCUUUUGUCAGUAAUAAUCUUAGAUACUAUGACUAGAGGGGAAAAAUAUUGAUUGUUUUUACAGAUUAUAAAAGCAUACAUUAGUAUAUUGUAUACCUGCUGUAAGAAUUUGUUUCAUUUGGUUAAAAUUAGUAAAUAUGGGUAGACAUGAACUUUCUGGCUGGUUUUGCCGUCCAUACUCACUGAGCUCCUUUUCCUUCUAAACCCAUUUUAGUUCAUUUCAUCUUUUCCCAGCUUUCAAAUCAUAGAUAAGGGGAAUGCUCUUCUACCCCCAGAAAUGUGCAUUCUAUAUACCAGAUUAUGAGUUUGAUUAGAGAAGUAAAAUUCAACAAAACAUGAAAGUUGUCAAAAAAAUUUAAUAAAAGUUGACACUAAAAAUAAGGUUGUUUCAACUGAGCUCGUAGGGUAGAUGUUCUGUAGGUACUCCUAUGUUUUUGUUUUCUUAGAGACCAUAAUAAUCAUAUUAAGAUCCCAGUGAGCAUAAACAGCAAUUAAAUAUGAUGUAAGAGGGAGACUGAAGGAUAGUUAAAUGAU
rnacentral:lncRNA from 1 species